GUCCUUGUAGAUUAGUGGUUAGAUCAUCACGUUGUGGCUCUCUUGGAGAGCAAGAUCGUGAAAACGGAGGCUCGAAUCCUCCCUGGGACA